CCCUUAGAUGUUCUGGGCCGCACGCGUGCUACACUGAGUGGAUCAGCGGGUCAGGUUGCGCGAAAGUGUUUCCUAAUCUUUAAAUCCGCUCGUGAUGGGGAUUGACGGUUGCAAUUUUCCGUCAUGAACGAGGAAUACCUUGUAAGCGCGGGUCAUCAUCCCGCGCUGAAUACGUCCCUGCCCUUUGUACCCACCGCCCGUCGCUCCUACCGAUUGAGUGGUCCGGUGAGGCUUUGGGAUCUGAGCGGAAAGAGCGUUUCGCUGUUUCUGCCCGGAAAACUCAGUCGAACCUUAUCAUUUAGAGGAAGGAGAAGUCGUAACA
rnacentral:rRNA from 1 species